rnacentral:rRNA from 1 species
UCCGGCGACUAUAUCGAAGUGGUCACACCUGUUCCCAUCCCGAACACAGUAGUUAAGCACUUCGAGCCGAUGAUAGUACUGAAAGUGCGAAAGUAGGUAUUGCCGGAU